UUUUUUCUCUACCUAGGGUUCAGAUGUAGAUGCAGACUCCAGUCAAAUUGAUGUUAGCCUGCUCAAAGUUUUAA